rnacentral:lncRNA from 1 species
GGCCCUGAUUCAGAGGACGCUGGUUCUGUUGAAACAAGGCCUGCACGGUGCCUCGGGGUGGGGGCAGGAAUGUGCUGAAAUAGGAAAGGAAACUGUUGCUCACCCCUCACCCCCAGAACGGUACCAGGAACCACGCUCACUCUUUAAAGGACGUUUUAAAUAAAGUCUUCAGGAAGGCUCACACUGUUCCUACUGUGAGUAACUUGCGGCUCUCUCUGAAGGAGGCGUCAGGGCACCUUUUCUAACUUGCGGCUCUCUCUGAAGGAGGCGUCAGGGCACCUUUUCUAACUUGCGACUCUCUGAAGGAGGCGUCAGGGCACCUUUUCUAACUUGCGGCUUCUCUGAAGGAUACGUCAGGGCACCUUUUCUAACUUGCGGCUUCUCUGAAGGAGGCGUCAGGGCACCUUUUCUAACUUGCGGCUCUCUCUGAAGGAGGCGUCAGGGCACCUUUUCUAACCUGCGGCUUCUUUGAAGGAUACGUCAGGGCACCUUUUCUAACUUGCGGCUUCUCUGAAGGAGGCGUCAGGGCACCUUUUUGGUCCUUGAACACACGGCACGGUUGUUUUUCAGGGAGGUGCUGGAAAUGACGUGAAAGUCGCUCAGUCGUGUCCGACUCUUCGCGACCGCAUGGACAGUCCAUGGGAUUCUCCAGAGUAGAAUCCUGGAGUGGGUGGCCUUUCCCUUCUCUGGGGGAUCUUCCCAGCCCAGGGACGGAACCCAGGUCUCCUGCUUUGCAGGCGGAUUCUUUACCAGCUGAGUCCCCAGGAAGCCCUCGUGUGUAAGAAUUAAAACAGAGCUUCCGCCUUCACCCCGGCUCUCACUCCUUGACUUUUUGUUUUCCCCCUGUGUUGGGGCUUCGCGUUUGCUCCCUGACCCCAGCUUGAAAUCAGCUCUGAGGAGGAGACCUCCCCGGCCUCCCUGAGGUUCCCCCUGGAAUCCCUGGAAACCCGGCCCACAGGGCCACCAUGUGGCCCACAGAGCCCAACCUCCUCCCCGCGCGGCCACGGCUCCGCCCAGCGUCUGCACCCCGGGCUGGCCUUCAACAUUCCAGCUGCUCCAAGAAGCCUCUCCUCCAGAUGCUGCCCUGUCUGGGGCUGCCCCUUGGACCUGCGGCGACUCUCCUCCAAGAGCUUAAGGAGCGUCCUGCUGCCUUUGUCUCCUGUCCCACUCAUAAAGUUAACAGGCGCGCUCUGG